UCUGGAACAUUAUCAUAUUCAGUUCAGAAGCAAACCUUUCCUUCCCUUCUUCCCCUCCUCCAUCCCACCCUUCUUUCCUCAAAUCCCAAACCUCUAGUAUUCCAGCUUCUGUGCUGAGUUUGGCUAUGUGGUGGUAAAGAAAACCUCUGGGAUUCUUGCCCUCAUGAAGUUCAUAGCUGAGCUUGAGUAAUUUCUGUAGAACUUUGAUAUUUUCUUCUGUAUCUUCCUCUACAAAUGCUUAUCAUUGCUUAGCAAGGUGCUGUAUUACAUAAGUAGGUUCUUUGAAAAGGAACAUCUGGCAGGAUGAUCAUUUUCUGAAAGUAUUUUGGAAAACACCGAUGAGGAGCUACAACUGGGUGACUCCGGGAAGUCAGCCAGCAAGGAAUCUCUACAUCCGACGUGGAGCUCAAACUCACGACCCAAGAUCAAGAGUCCCAUUCUCUACUGACUGAGCCAGCCAGGUACCCUGUUGUAUUUUAAAUUAGCUUGUAUCUCCUCUUGGGAAACUGGGGAAAUUGGAUAUUUUUAGACUAAAUGAGCCAACAGUUAUCUUUCAGUCCUGGCUAAAGCCCAAUGCUAUGUUGUUCACUAGCUGAGGAAUGGAGAAAAAUAGGAGAAGGGAUAGCAAGGGACAAUAUCAUGACAAUUGUUCUAGGACAACCUCUUCUUUAACAGAUGGAUCAGAGGCUCAGAAAGCUAGGUGAGUUAAAGUAAAGGUAUUUAAUAAGGAUUUAUGGAUUGCUUUUGGAGAGCUAACAUUUUCUGGUCCUACAAUCUAUAUGAUGCCUAUGGAGAUACAGGGACAAGGAGAUCAGGGCUAGUUCAAAGUUAGCUGACUUGUGAGGACAGCUCAUUGACUGAAGACUGCCCAGUGCUGUGUGGCUCCUGUGAGUGGGGUCUGUGAUAACUGCUCUGUCUGCAGAGGGCCGUGGGCUCUAGGACAGGCUCCUAAGAGAGUUCAGCGUUAGUAUCACCCGGCUGCUAUUGAAAUGCUAUAAUAUUGAUUAUAUUCAGAAUAAUUUCUUUUUUCCUUUACCAAUUAGUAAAUUAGCACCAGUUUAUUAAUAUAUUUUAAAAAUUAUUAUUGGGCCCUUUUGUGGGUCAGGU
rnacentral:lncRNA from 1 species